rnacentral:lncRNA from 1 species
UUGCUGUUGGCUUCAUUUGAUAAGGUCUGCAGACUAAGAGGAGCCAUGCCCAGACAUGAUAAAAAGAUUAUGGAGCACCACUCACAGAUCCUGGACUCAACAAUGGAUGCAGUCACUGGAUGGAACUUUUGGAUGGAACUAUGAACUUUUCUGGCAUUCUUGUGGUGGGAUGGUGCCUUGUGACUAGUUCUGACCAAUGAGUUGUGAGCAGAAGUGAAGUGUGGCCAGAGCACUUAAUUGCCAACUAGAAACUUCCAGAGUUUCUUUCCCACUUCUUCAAUGAUUGUGAAGUGAUGUUCCCACAAAGCUUUCAUUCCUGAGUUCCUGAGAGACUACAGAAGGAUGCAAAUCAGAGACCUCUGCUGACUCACCUGAAAACAUGGGCAAG